GAAAUAUCAUGUAUGAAAAACAAAAAAAUUAUCUUUGUUUUUGCCUUCCUGCCUGCCCAUACUACAGGAAACCUGCUAAGGCAGUUGAAGAUACGUCUUAUAGGAUACAUGGGCUCCCUGAUGCCAAAGACAUCUCUACAUUCUUACUGUCACUCAGGCAUAAAGAUGCCUUUGCCAGGAUGGUUCAGCUCCUGUGCUAAAGAGCUGGAGUUCUGUGAGUCUUCAGAUUGUAUAUAUCCAGUUCUUUAAGGCAGAAUAGUCACAGCAGUUGUCAUUUCCACUACCACCAAAGUUAUCAGGGCUAUGAGAGAGCCCCUUCUGGGAUGUGUGUCCCAUGUCAUGGACUCAUGGACUCAGAGCAGCUGAGGAUGGAGGGACCUGUGGAGACUGUCUAUGCCAGGCCCCCUGCAGAAGAUGGUUGUUCAACAUUGUGGCCAUCUUUUGAAAAUCUCCACAGAUGGAAACUCUCUGAUGGUCUAAGCAACCUGUUCCACUGUUGUUGAAAAAGAAAAAAAAAUUAAUUCUUAUGUUUAAUACUCAUACUUGCAUGGUGUCCAUUAAAGCUAAGAAAAACAUUUUCAGAAAGACUGUCAUAACACUUUUGGCAUGAAGAAAGUGGGAAUAAUGAUCACUUCUUUAAGAAAAGCUUUUUGUUCUGAAAUUCUUGGUGAAUUUCAUAGGCCAGAAGAGUAGAAAUAGAAACCUUACUUAAAGACUGAACUAGUAAAUCAUCCUUCAGUUAAUUUACAGGUAUCACAUUUGUUCUCUCAAAAUUCAGCCAUGGAAGUUAUGCAUGUAUACUUCAAUCAUUCAGGGGUUUGUUUUUUUUUCUGCAACAUUAGUGUGUAAAUAUAUAUAUGUGUGUGUGUGUGUGUGUGUGUGUGUGUAUGUGUGUGUG
rnacentral:lncRNA from 1 species